rnacentral:rRNA from 1 species
CCUACGUGAGACAGCAGUGGGGGAUCUUGCACAAUGGGGGAAACCCUGAUGCAGCGACGCCGCGUGCGUGAAGAAGCGCCUCGGCGCGUAAAGCCCUGUCAGCAGGGAAGAAAAUGACGGUACCUGAAGAAGAAGCCCCGUCUAACUACGUCCCCGCAGCCGCGGUAAUACGUAGGGGGCAAGCUUUAGCCGGAUUGACUGGGUGUAAAGUGGUCGCUGACGGCUAUGCAAGCCAGGAGGGAAAGCCCGGGGCCCACCCCCGGGACUGCUCUUGAAACUGCGUGGCUAGAGUGCAGGAGGGGCAGGCGGAAUUUCUGGUGUAGCGGUGAAAUGCGUAGAUAUCAGGAGGAACACCGGUGGCGAAGGCGGCCUGCUG